UCGCCUGUUUAACAAAAACAUGUCUUUGUGAAGAUUUACACAGUCUGGCCUGCCCACUGAAUCAUUAAAGGGCCGCGGUAUCUCUGACCGUGCGAAGGUAGCAUAAUCAUUAGUCUUUUAAUUGGAGGCUCGUAUGAAAGGUCGAACGAGUGAUAGACUGUCUUAACAGAAAAAAUUGAAAUUAACUUUAAAGUGAAAAGGCUUUAAUAUAUUAGAAAGACGAUAAGACCCUAUAAAUCUUUACACCAUAUUUAAUAUUAGGCCAAUCUGUUAGUUCAAGGAAAAAUACUAAAAAAGUGUUUUGUUGGGGC
rnacentral:rRNA from 1 species